CGCGUAGGCGGUCUGCUAAGUUGGAUGUGAAAACUCUGGGCUUAACCCAGAGCCUGCAUCCAAAACUAGCAGGCUGGAGUUCUGGAGGGGAUAGCGGAAUUCCUGGUGUAGCGGUGAAAUGCGUAGAUAUCAGGAGGAACACCGGUGGCGAAGGCGGCUAUCUGGACAGAAACUGACGCUGAGGCGCGAAAGCUAGGGGAGCAAACA
rnacentral:rRNA from 1 species